AAGGAUCAUUACCGAGUUAGGGUCCUCUGGGCUCGACCUCCAACCCUUUGUCUACCUUACCUUACGUUGCUUCGGCGGGUCCGUCCUUGAAAAGGACCGCCGGAGGGUGGUUUCCCCCUCUGGCCCGCACCCGCCGGUGGCCACCAAUCAAUUUCUUGUCAAAAACGUGUCGUCUGAAGUACAAAAUAAAUAACUAAAAACUUUCAACAACGGAUCUCUUGGUUCUGGCAUCGAUGAAGAACGCAGCGAAAUGCGAUAAGUAAUGCGAAUUGCAGAAUCCGUGAGUCAUCGAAUCUUUGAACGCACCUUGCGCCCUUUGGUAUUCCGAAGGGCAUGCCUGUUCGAGCGUCAUUAUCACCCCUCAAGCCCCGGCUUGGUGUUGGGCUCUCGGUGGUCGUCUCCGACCACCCGUCUCAAAGAUAGUGACGGCGUCCCAGAGGGAACCGGUACGAGGAGCUUUCACGAGCAUGUACGCGGGACGACUCUGCGGGCGACGGUCUUAUUUACUUUAUAUACAAGUGUUGACCUCGGAUCAGGUAGGAAUACCCGCUGAACUUAA
rnacentral:rRNA from 1 species